rnacentral:tRNA from 2 species
GCCAGGGUGGCAGAGUGGUAAUGCGGUGGCCUCGAGAGCCACUGUCCCCUCGGGGACGCGCAGGUUCAAAUCCUGCCCCUGGCG